rnacentral:rRNA from 1 species
AACGAACGCUGGCGGCAUGCCUAACACAUGCAAGUCGAACGAGACCUUCGGGUCUAGUGGCGCACGGGUGCGUAACGCGUGGGAAUCUGCCCUUAGGUUCGGAAUAACUCAGGGAAACUUGAGCUAAUACCGGAUGAUGACUUCGGUCCAAAGAUUUAUCGCCUAAGGAUGAGCCCGCGUAAGAUUAGCUAGUUGGUGGGGUAAAGGCUCACCAAGGCUACGAUCUUUAGCUGGUCUGAGAGGAUGAUCAGCCACACUGGGACUGAGACACGGCCCAGACUCCUACGGGAGGCAGCAGUGGGGAAUAUUGGACAAUGGGCGAAAGCCUGAUCCAGCAAUGCCGCGUGAGUGAUGAAGGCCUUAGGGUUGUAAAGCUCUUUUACCCGGGAUGAUAAUGACAGUACCGGGAGAAUAAGCUCCGGCUAACUCCGUGC